rnacentral:rRNA from 1 species
AACGAACGCUGGCGGCAUGCCUAACACAUGCAAGUCGAACGAGACCUUCGGGUCUAGUGGCGCACGGGUGCGUAACGCGUGGGAAUCUGCCCCUCGGUUCGGAAUAACAGUGAGAAAUUACUGCUAAUACCGGAUGAUGACUUCGGUCCAAAGAUUUAUCGCCGAGGGAUGAGCCCGCGUAGGAUUAGGUAGUUGGUGGGGUAAUGGCCUACCAAGCCGACGAUCCUUAGCUGGUCUGAGAGGAUGAUCAGCCACACUGGGACUGAGACACGGCCCAGACUCCUACGGGAGGCAGCAGUGGGGAAUAUUGGACAAUGGGCGAAAGCCUGAUCCAGCAAUGCCGCGUGAGUGAUGAAGGCCUUAGGGUUGUAAAGCUCUUUUACCAGGGAUGAUAAUGACAGUACCUGGAGAAUAAGCUCCGGCUAACUCCGUGCCAGCCGCCGCCGUAAUAC